AACUGGAGCCAUAUCACCCUGCAGCUCUUGCAUGAUUUCCCACUGAAGCUAGACAGGGUUGAGCAUGGCCAGUACCUGGAUGGGACCCCUCAUGGGGAAAACUAAGGUUGCUGAUG
rnacentral:rRNA from 1 species